UAUAUAUAUAUAUAUAUAUAUAUAUAUAUAUAUAUAUAUAUAUAUAUCUAUAUAUAUAUAUACAUAUAUAUAUAUACAUACAUAUGGAGAGACAGACAGACAGACAGAAUAGACAGACCGACUGAGACAGUGAGAAAUGUAUUUUAAUGCAUAAGUGUCCUGGGGUUGCUUGCAAAUUUUGCAAUGCAGGGAUGAAGGGAAAUGUGAAAUCUUUAAAGUAUAAAGAAAUAUGAAAACAAAAAUAUUGAACAAAUGGUGAUAAACAAACGUAGAAUCAAGAAAUUUUCUGAAAAAAAGGGAAAAAACCGAAAACCCAGCAAAAAUAAUCACAAAUAUCUUAUAUAGUUCUUAGAUUGAAGAGUGGUAUAAAUCUCCGUCGUUCUUACUGCAUGUAUGUAGUGAAUCUGUAGAAAGAUUCCUGAAAAUCGUAGUUCUUGAAGUAGGAUGGAAUUCUGUUUAGCGAAUAAACAUUAGUCCAGCAUAGACAGUACAUCGUUGAACAUUUUCUUGCAUGAAAUAAUUCUAUAGGUGUUUUCUAUAUUAACAAAACAAAAAAAAUGAUAAAGAAAAAAUAUUGUCAGGAGUUCUUCCGUUUUUCCUUUGUUGUUUGGGUUUUUUUUUAAUUUCGUUUUUAUAUCCUGUUUUAGUUUUUCAUCUCCAGUCCCUAUGGUUGAUACUCUCAUUCAGGAUGACAGAUAUAAUCUGUUACCCGUUUUAAAACCACCAUUUGGCCCACUAGGCUACCUUUAAGUGCAUCCACUCCGUUUCGAGUAUUCGGAUCAGGUCCUGGGUCUUCUUCUUUAGUCUCAAAGGUCCUGGAAAAUGUCAUAGGUGUUGCCCUUCCUCCUGUGACUAACACGUUAGUAAGCCAAAAGAAUUCCAGCCCUCCGAAAGUGAGAGUUUAAACUGAGAGGACAUAUUUGAUUAAACGUGUUGAAAUGUUAAUACAAUUUUUGAAGUAUAAGAGAUCGGGGCAACCUGAUGGAUUGACUGAUUACGUGUGGAGAGAUGAAUGUAUUGACAUUGCAAAAAAUGACGCAGCUGUGAAUGGGUUUGUAGAUGAGUGAAUAUUGAUUUCCCUGUGUGGAUUGAUAGAUUGUGAGAGGAGUAAAGUGGAACAUGGCUCGGCAGAUAAACGAAUUGAUUAAUGGGCGAAUAGUAGGAUGUAUGGAUAUAACCAUCUGUGAAUGAAUAGAUGGAUGGAGUAAUACUUUCUUAGUAGAACGAAUGUAACAAAGAAUGUAUUGAGGGACGAAUGUAUUGAUAGGCAUGAAAGGACUGAUGUAUCAAUGGAUGAAAAAAGUGUUGUAUGGAUAUGUCACAGUUUAUUUUAAAAUCAAAAGAGAAAAUGAACGCUAAAAAUUUACGAAAGAACUUAAACGAGAAAUCUGAAGAAAUACAACAGGAAGUUUAUGUGAUUACCAAAAGUUGACGCAACAAGUAUUGUUGAAAGAAAAUGAGCUGCUGGAGAAUCAAAUCCGCAAAUCUGGGUUCCAUUCCUUACUGAAUCUCCUUUAUUUCACGCUACACUGCUAAUGCCCUGGAAAUAUGGCUGAAUGCCAUGACUUUCAGAUUUUCCUUCUCUUCAAAUAUUUAAGUAUUUGUGAAAGUCAAAAUUGAUUUUAAAAUGUACAUUAAAAAUGAUGGGGCAAGCGGGGUUGAGAAAGAGAUAUAAUACAGAAGACUAGAAUGUCCAGUCUGGGUUUAGAUUCUUGUUUGACGCCUAUUAAUUUCACUUUAAAAAGCUGAAGCUCCGUGGAUGAAGAACGCCAUCGACACACAAUGUUAAUAAAUGCCUCUUCUAUAAAGUUUGAGUGUAAUGCCUGUACAAAUAGCGAACUAUACAAAGUGAUUCCAAAUCGAUGAGUUGGCAUCAUCUUCCGAGGUUUACGAUUAUAAAUGCCGAUGUUUCUCGAAUUUGAAUUCCAACUUGAUUGAAAGCAAAACGAAUUUCAUGCCUAAGACAUUCUUUUAUAAGAAAAUCAAAUGAAAAAGAUAAACACUUGUAAAAAUAACUGCGAUUGUUUCAGCAAAGUAUACGACUCUCUACAUAGAGCUGGCCUAAUAAAGGGAAAAUAUCUGCACUGAAGGUUGAAGCAGCAAUAUGUAUACAUACAUACUCACAUAUAUACAUAUAUAUAUAUAUACAUAUUAUAAAAGUUAAAAGUUAUGUUAGACGAAUGAGAAAAAUCAUCUAAAAUUUCAAAGCAUCAGACCAGUAAAAUUACUGGUGUUGUUUCGGUUAAACUUACACCACCUUUUAAAAACUGGACAGGUCGCAUAUUCAAAACGAAAAUCAAUGUGUUUAGAAAUGCAAAUAAUGUAUAUAUAAAAAAAAGAAAACCGAAAAAAGCGACAAGGAUAAAACAUAAUAUUCCUGAAAAAUAAUACCGAAAUUGUAUCAAAGCUCAGAAAAAAAAGAUAUCAGAUUUCUAACUGAAAAUGGCGAAGUUUUGUUUCUUUUCUAUAAUUAUUUGUAUUAUACUUUUGUUUUCUUUUUGUUCAUAUCAUAUUAUUAUUAUUAUUAUUAUUAUCAUUAUUAUUAUUAUUAUUAUUAUUAUUAUUAUUAUUAUUAUUAUUAUUAUUAUUAUUAUGAUAUGUUUUAUGACUCCGACAACAUAGUAAAGUGUAGAUUACGUAAAAAAGAAAGACACACACAAACACGUCCCAUUCACCUUAUAUUAGUUUCUCCAAUCUACGAAUUAAAAAAAAAA